ACGUAGGAAGCGAGCGUUAUCCGGAUUUACUGGGCGUAAAGCGUGCGCAGGCGGUUCUGUAAGACAGGCGUGAAAUCCCCGGGCUCAACCUGGGAAUGGCGCUUGUGACUGCAAAGCUGGAGUGCGGCAGAGGGGGAUGGAAUUCCGCGUGUAGCAGUGAAAUGCGUAGAUAUGCGGAGGAACACCAAUGGCGAAGGCAAUCCCCUGGGCCUGCACUGACGCUCAUGCACGAAAGCGUGGGGAGCAAACAGGAUUAGAAACCCCGGUAGU
rnacentral:rRNA from 1 species